AUGGCGGCAAACGUAUUCUCUCGAAUUUGUACUCGAGGAUUUUUGAGGAGUUACACGUCAAAAUCACACCUCCAUUUUGACUCAUUAAAUCCUUCACAGUCAUGUGUUGUUUCUAACCCUGGAAUUGGAAAAAACACAUUUUUGGAAUAUUAUUGUAAAAAGUUUUCUACCACAGCUCAAAAGUAUGACUCAGACUCAGUAUCAUGCUGGAAAUGUGGAGUGACUGUUGACCUGAAAAAAGUUUUGUUUUGCGACUACUGUGAGGUUGUUCAGAAACCAAAAUACGAUGUAGAUUUUUUUGAAAUUUUUGGCAUGAAACAAACUUUUGAAGUAGACAAUAGGGAGCUGACAAAAAAAUUCAGGCUUUUACAAAUGCAGCUUCAUCCCGAUAGGUUUUCCCAAAAAUCUGAGGAGGAAAAACAAAUUUCUGCUGGUUAUUCCUCUUUGUUGAAUCAAGCAUACAAGACACUGAGCUCACCAUUAGAGAGGGGGCUCUAUCUCCUACAAAUACAAGGACAUGCACUAUCUGAUGAAGGAGAGAUAAUAAUGGAUCCUGAAUUUUUGAGUGAAAUAAUGGAAAUUAAUGAAGAAAUUCAUGAAGUUGAAGAUCAUGAAUCACUUCAAAGAUUACAGAAAACUAAUACCAUUGAGCUGGAAAACCUGUUUAGGAAAGCUGCUGAUCACUUCAGAAAUAAUGAUUGGGAGUCUGCACGAGAAUGCGUGGCGAAAUUGAAAUAUUACAAUAAAAUUCAAAGAAGAAUAAAGGAAAUUGAACAGGAAUUGGUAGAAAAAGAAAACUAGCUGUAUACCAAAAUAUGCUGUACCAGUUCCUUGUUUUAUUGUAAGUUUCUUGAGGCACCUGGGUUUCUACAGUAGUAUUUCAGAACUUUGAAGCUACCUUGAAGAUAAACCGAAGUUGUAUUGUUUUACCAAAAGCCAGAAAAAUGUUAUGCCAUAACCACAAAUACUUCAGCGUGAUGUUGUUGAAUCUGCGACAUACUUUAAAUAUUCCCUUAGACCUUUCUGGAAAUCAUGAUAGAAAACGUACGCUCCAGCGCAUAAAGAUGAAGGAGUCACAGUGACUAACUCUUUGGGUGAAAACUAAUGAAGAGUAUUUACGAGAAGAUUACAUACUUCAACGAGCAUCACAGAGAGCUCAAAAUUUAAUUGAACUGAGAAACUUAAAGGUAUUUGCCCAGAGAAAAUCGACAAUUACUUAUGAUGUAUUCGCAGAGACGAUUGUAGAGUGUGUACACCAAGUCAGAAACACAGGGGGUUGUGAAAAGGAUGUCUGGCAAAACGGCGAAGCUGAAAUAACUCUUUUAAUAAAAAGAGAAGCAUGUAGCACGUUAACUGCCAAUGAAGUAAGACAAACUUUAUAAAAACGUAUACCAGUGAGCGCUGCAUUGGUCAUCUGCCUUCUUUAUUAACAGAGCUUCUUCAUAUUGAGACUUAAGUGACAUCCACUUGAAUCUGUCGAGAUUUACUGAUAAGUUUCUUGAGGCACUUGGAUUCUUACAGAAAUAUUUCAGUUGUUUAACCAACUGGUUUUCUGUUCGAUAUAAGCAUUCUUCAGGGAAGAUUUCCGGAUAAGACAAUCUCCAAGGACACAAUGGAAAGCAACCCAAGAUUGUAGCUUCUAUCCUAAACCAAAUAAAAUUGUUAAAAUGUA
rnacentral:misc_RNA from 1 species